rnacentral:rRNA from 1 species
UGGGGGAUAUUGCACAAUGGGGGAAACCCUGAUGCAGCGACGCCGCGUGAGUGAAGAAGCAUUUCGGUGUGUAAAGCUCUAUCAGCAGGGAAGAAGAAUGACGGUACCUGACUAAGAAGCCCCGGCUAACUACGUGCCAGCAGCCGCGGUAAUACGUAGGGGGCAAGCGUUAUCCGGAUUUACUGGGUGUAAAGGGAGCGUAGACGGCAAUGCAAGCCAGAUGUGAAAACCCGCAGCUCAACUGGGGGAGUGCAUUUGGAACUGUGUAGCUGGAGUGCAGGAGAGGUAAGCGGAAUUCCUGGU